rnacentral:rRNA from 1 species
ACGGAGGAUGCGAGCGUUAUCCGGAUUUAUUGGGUUUAAAGGGUGCGUAGGCGGAUAGAUAAGCCAGUGGUGAAAACCUGCAGCUUAACUGUAGACUUGCCGUUGAUACUGUCAGUCUUGAGUAUGGUCAAGGUAGGCGGAAUGUGUAAUGUUGCGGUUUAAUGCUUAGAAUUUACCCAGAACUACGAUUGCUUUGGGAGCUUGCUGGGCCAUUACUGACGCUGAUGCGCUUAAGCGUUGGGAUCGAACAG